UCCCGCCUCUCAAGAAGCCUCCCAGUUACUAAAUUUCUGUUUUGUCCCAGCUGGCCUCUUGAGAAUCCAGUCGCCUGUGGUGCCUUGUUUUAGUCAAUUAGAGCUAACUAGUGGGAAGUGGCUACUGCUGUUCACACAGCAUUUCUGGAAGUCACAAGCAGGAUUUGGGAGACUGGAAGGAAAAAGCUACGAGCGAGCAGGAGAUCAAGAGCACACUUCCUCCACAACCGUACUCUGCAGAAGUCUAGGAUGGCCAGUUGUGGGUCCUGUUUCUGGUGCCUCAUCUGGCUGGUGAUUCUGCUCUGCAUCGGCUGGCCCCUCGCAAUCACCUUAGGGGGUCUCUACGGCCUCAUCAGUCCCCUCACCACCUGCCUCGGCCUGGACAGACUUUCUGAUCUGCUCCUGGAGGGGGCCAACCUGGGCCGAACCUGCGCCAAUAACAUGAGACAUGGGAAGCCUUUGUGUUGAGAUCCACCCACAGAGAUCAGGACCAAAGAGAGAAGGCUGAUUGUGGUCUUUCUACCGAAAAAAUUCCUUCACUUUGAGGAGGACUUUUGAUGUCUUAUUUUAUGUGGGGAUAUCCCAGGAUGAUUGGCUCUAAAUAAAGUGAGAAACUUGUUUUUAUUUUUUACCAUGUUAUGUAACAAAAAGGUCCGGAAGGUCUGGAAAAUGGAUUUCACUCGUUCUGUUAACACAUAAUUAACCAUGGAUUUGAAAUUUGUAUUGGUUUGUCAGGAAGGAAAUAGGCUUUGUGUUCAUGGUCUGUGUUUGCUGUUUAAUUCAUGAUGACACUGCAAGGAGAGGAUAAGAGUGAAAAUGGCAAUUUAACAAUGGAAAUGUUUAGACUUGUAAAUGAAUGUAUGGAAACUUUUAAUGCGAUUAAAACUGCUUUGAACUUGC